UUUCCGUAGGUGAACCUGCGGAAGGAUCAUUAUUGUAUAACCGAGGUGCGAGGGCUGUCGCUGACCCGAAAGGUCGUGCACGCCCGAGUGCCCUCACACACAUCCAUCUCACCCCUAUGUGCACCACCGCGUGGGUCCCCCUUUGGCUUGUUCGGAGGGGGGCUUACGCUUUCACACAAACUUUGUAUGCAGUGUAGAAUGUAUUUUUUGUUCUUGCGAUCACGCAAUCAAUACAACUUUCAACAACGGAUCUCUUGGCUCUC
rnacentral:misc_RNA from 1 species